rnacentral:rRNA from 1 species
CAGUAGCCGCGGUAACACGAAAGGUGCAAGCGUUAAUCGGAAUUACUGGGCGUAAAGCGUGCGUAGGCGGUGAGUUAAGUCUGCUGUGAAAUCCCCGGGCUCAACCUGGGAAUGGCAGUGGAUACUGGCUCGCUAGAGUGUGUCAGAGGAUGGUGGAAUUCCCGGUGUAGCGGUGAGAUGCGUAGAGAUCGGGAGGAACAUCAGUGGCGAAGGCGGCCAUCUGGGACAACACUGACGCUGAGGCACGAAAGCGUGGGGAGCAAACAGGAUUAGAUACCCCCGUAGUCCCUGUCUCUUAUAC